CUGGGCUGUGCCCCCCACCGCGCUCCUCCUGGGUGGCCACCAGUGCUGCUGCCUGCCCCACGCCGUGCCAGCCCCACACCAUGCCAGCCCCACGCCAUGGGCCAGGCUGGCUCAGCACGGAUGGCGCUCCGGCGAGGACCUGCGGGACCCCCGGCGAGAGGUGCAGUGCAGCACUGCGUGUAUUUGACAAGCUGAGUCCGACACUCAGUGUGCAGAGUGUCAGUUUGUCAAAUACCCCAAGUGAGGCAUCUGCUGAGCAGCGCGGCGAGGGCACCGGCUCCUUCCUGCCCCUAUUCUGCCUCUCUCCCCAAGCCCAGCGAGGUAUUGAGAACCCAUCCCGUCAUUAAUGAAUGCUUGACUCCCCAUCCUGUGCUGUCAGCUUUCCCUUCCACCCCGAUUUCGGGAGCAUCUCUUGGGGUACUCCUCCUAACAACGGCAACUCCGUACAGAAGUGGUGCUGGUACAGUUCCUCUGCGCCGUGAAAGCAGAGAAUUGGGGCCUGGCUCCUUAUUCUGUGCAGGCAAAGACAACACUGUUCUCUCCCACGGCAUUAAUUUGCCAGCUCUUAAUUAAUAAUCCUGCUCAGUUAACAAGGAUUCUGGCAACUGUAAUCACAACAUCAUGGGUAAGGGCAGCAUUAUCCGUCAUACAGCAUCUUUUCUCUGAA